GCUUGCUCCUCUGACGUUAGCGGCGGACGGGUGAGUAACACGUGGAUAACCUACCUAUAAGACUGGGAUAACUUCGGGAAACCGGAGCUAAUACCGGAUAAUAUAUUGAACCGCAUGGUUCAAUAGUGAAAGACGGUUUUGCUGUCACUUAUAGAUGGAUCCGCGCCGCAUUAGCUAGUUGGUAAGGUAACGGCUUACCAAGGCAACGAUGCGUAGCCGACCUGAGAGGGUGAUCGGCCACACUGGAACUGAGACACGGUCCAGACUCCUACGGGAGGCAGCAGUAGGGAAUCUUCCGCAAUGGGCGAAAGCCUGACGGGGCAACGCCGCGUGAGUGAUGAAGGUCUUCGGAUCGUAAAACUUUGUUAUUAGGGAAGAACAAAUGUGUAAGUAACUAUGCACGUCUUGACGGUACCUAAUCAGAAAGCCACGGCUAACUACGUGCCAGCAGCCGCGGUAAUACGUAGGUGGCAAGCGUUAUCCGGAAUUAUUGGGCGUAAAGCGCGCGUAGGCGGUUUUUUAAGUCUGAUGUGAAAGCCCACGGCUCAACCGUGGAGGGUCAUUGGAAACUGGAAAACUUGAGUGCAGAAGAGGAAAGUGGAAUUCCAUGUGUAGCGGUGAAAUGCGCAGAGAUAUGGAGGAACACCAGUGGCGAA
rnacentral:rRNA from 1 species